GUCACCCGGGGAGCCUUCAGGAGCGGCCGAGGAGUUGCUGCAGACCCUGCCGCGAGGGCAUCGGCCUCCAGGCGCGGCCAGAUGAGCUGGACGUUCUUAGGAGAAUGCUGAGCAAGGGGCCACAGUCGGUGACUCUAGGAAACUGCCAGCAGGCGAGGCGGCCUUCCUCGGCACCGGACGUGGAUUCUCGUCCCCGGACAUCCGAGAGAUAAGUCGAGGGCUAGGAC